GCAGCCGCGGUAAUACGUAGGGGGCAAGCGUUGUCCGGAAUGACUGGGCGUAAAGGGCGUGUAGGCGGCUUUUUAAGUGUGAAGUGAAAGUCCUGCUUUCAAGGUGGGAAUUGCUUUGCAAACUGGAGAGCUUGAGUGCGGAAGAGGUAAGUGGAAUUCCCAGUGUAGCGGUGAAAUGCGUAGAGAUUGGGAGGAACACCAGUGGCGAAGGCGACUUACUGGGCCGCAACUGACGCUGAGGCGCGAAAGCGUGGGGAGCGAACAGGAUUAGAUACCCC
rnacentral:rRNA from 1 species